GCAAUGAUGGCUGAGUGGUUAAAGCGUUGGAUUUGAAAUGCAAAAGGGUCUCCCUGCGCAGGUUCAAAUCCUGCUCACAGCG